rnacentral:rRNA from 1 species
CCUACGGGUGGCAGCAGUGGGGAAUAUUGCGCAAUGGGCGAAAGCCUGACGCAGCGACGCCGCGUGAGGGAUGGAGGUCUUCGGAUCGUAAACCUCUGUCAGCAGGGAAGAACGGUCACUGUGCUAAUCAGCAGUGAAUUGACGGUACCUGCAAAGGAAGCACCGGCUAACUCCGUGCCAGCAGCCGCGGUAAUACGGAGGGUGCGAGCGUUAAUCGGAAUUACUGGGCGUAAAGCGCUCGUAGGCGGUAUGGCAAGUCAAGGGUGAAAUCCCCGCGCUCAACGUGUGAACUGCCUUUGAAACUGGAAGACUGGAGUGUGUGAGAGGAUAGUGGAAUUCCAGGUGUAGGAGUGAAAUCCGUAGAUAUCAGGAGGAACAUCAGUGGCGAAGGCGACUAUCUGGCACAUAACUGACGCUGAGGAGCGAAAGCGUGGGUAGCAAACAGGAUUAGAUACCCGAGUAGUC